AAUGCGAGACUAGCAAUCCCAUAAACCGUGGCUCAGUUCAGAUCGUAGGCUGCAACUCGCCUACGUGAAGUAGGAAUCGCUAGUAAUCGCAGGUCAGCAUACUGCGGUGAAUACGUUCCCGGGCCUUGUACACACCGCCCGUCACACCAUGGAAGUUGGCCAUGCCCGAAGUCGUUACUUUAACCCUUGUGGAGAAGGACGCCGAAGGUGGGGCUGAUGACUGGGGUGAAGUCGUAACAAGGUAGCCGUACCGGAAGGUGCGGCUGGAUCACCUCCUAA
rnacentral:rRNA from 1 species